rnacentral:rRNA from 1 species
UACACUCCUACGGGAGGCAGCAGUGGGGAAUAUUGGACAAUGGGCGAAAGCCUGAUCCAGCAAUGCCGCGUGAGUGAUGAAGGCCUUAGGGUUGUAAAGCUCUUUUACCCGGGAUGAUAAUGACAGUACCGGGAGAAUAAGCCCCGGCUAACUCCGUGCCAGCAGCCGCGGUAAUACGGAGGGGGCUAGCGUUGUUCGGAAUUACUGGGCGUAAAGCGCGCGUAGGCGGCUUUGUAAGUUAGAGGUGAAAGCCCGGAGCUCAACUUCGGAAUUGCCUUUAAGACUGCAUCGCUAGAAUCGUGGAGAGGUGAGUGGAAUUCCGAGUGUAGAGGUGAAAUUCGUAGAUAUUCGGAAGAACACCAGUGGCGAAGGCGACUCACUGGACACGUAUUGACGCUGAGGUGCGAAAGCGUGGGGAGCAAACAGGAUUAGAAACCCUAGUAGUCCC